UACAGAGGUCUCAAGCGUUGUUCGGAAUCACUGGGCGUAAAGGGUGCGUAGGUGGCGUGGUCAGUCAGAUGUGAAAGCCCGGGGCUCAACCUCGGAAUUGCAUCCGAUACUACCAUGCUAGAGUACUGAAGAGGUGACUAGAAUUCUCGGUGUAGCAGUGAAAUGCGUAGAUAUCGAGAGGAAUACCAACGGCGAAGGCAGGUCACUGGGCAGUUACUGACACUGAGGCACGAAAGCUAGGGGAGCGAAUGGG
rnacentral:rRNA from 1 species